UACGGAGGGUGCAAGCGUUGUCCGGAAUCAUUGGGCGUAAAGCGUUCGUAGGCGGUUGAUUAAGUUUGGUGUUAAAGACCGGGGCUCAACUCCGGCAGGGCAUCGGAUACUGAUUAACUGGAAUGCGGCAGAGGUUAAGGGAAUUCCUGGUGUAGCGGUGAAAUGCGUAGAUAUCAGGAGGAACAUCAGAGGCGAAAGCGCUUAACCGGGCCGUUAUUGACGCUGAGGAACGAAAGCCGGGGGAGCAAAU
rnacentral:rRNA from 1 species